CGACGAUGCGUAGGGGUUCUGAGAGGAAGGUCCCCCACACUGGUACUGAGACACGGACCAGACUCCUACGGGAGGCAGCAGUGAGGAAUAUUGGUCAAUGGGCGGGAGGCUGAACCAGCCAAGUCGCGUGAGGGAAGACGGCCCUACGGGUUGUAAACCUCUUUUGUCAGGGAGCAAGAGGCGGGUCGAGACCUGCUGUGAGAGUACCUGAAGAAAAAGCAUCGGCUAACUCCGUGCCAGCAGCCGCGGUAAUACGGAGGAUGCGAGCGUUAUCCGGAUUUAUUGGGUUUAAAGGGUGCGCAGGCGGAGGCACAAGUCAGCGGUAAAAUCGCGGGGCUCAACCCCGCUCCGCCGUUGAAACUGUGUCCCUUGAGUGCGCGAAGGGUAGGCGGAAUGCGUGGUGUAGCGGUGAAAUGCAUAGAUAUCACGCAGAACUCCGAUCGCGAAGGCAGCCUACCGGCGCGCAACUGACGCUCAUGCACGAAAGCGUGGGUAUCGAACAGGAUUAGAUACCCUGGUAGUCCACGCAGUAAACGAUGAAUGCUAUCUGUCCGGCCGGAAUGACGGCUGG
rnacentral:rRNA from 1 species